GACGAACGCUGGCGGCGUGCUUAACACAUGCAAGUCGAACGGUGAAGCGCCUUCCUUUUUGGUGGGUGUGGAUGAGUGGUGAACGGGUGAGUAACACGUGAGUAACCUGCCCCCUUCUUCUGGAUAACCGCAUGAAAGUGUGGCUAAUACGGGAUAUUCUGGGUCUGUCGCAUGAUGGGUCCGGGAAAGAUAUUGUUUCGGUGGGGGAUGGGCUCGCGGCCUAUCAGCUUGUUGGUGGGGUGAUGGCCUACCAAGGCGGUGACGGGUAGCCGGCCUGAGAGGGUGGACGGUCACACUGGGACUGAGACACGGCCCAGACUCCUACGGGAGGCAGCAGUGGGGAAUAUUGCACAAUGGGCGCAAGCCUGAUGCAGCGACGCCGCGUGAGGGAUGGAGGCCUUCGGGUUGUGAACCUCUUUCGCCAGUGAAGCAGGCCUGCCUCGUUUGUGGGUGGGUUGACGGUAGCUGGAUAAGAAGCGCCGGCUAACUACGUG
rnacentral:rRNA from 1 species